UGGGGAAUCUUGCGCAAUGGACGAAAGUCUGACGCAGCCACGCCGCGUGAGUGAAGAAGGCCUUCGGGUUGUAAAGCUCUGUCGGGAGGGACGAAAACUCUUAAGGUGAAUAGCCUUAGGAACUGACGGUACCUCCAAAGGAAGCACCGGCUAACUUCGUGCCAGCAGCCGCGGUAAUACGAAGGGUGCGAGCGUUGCUCGGAAUUAUUGGGCGUAAAGGGUAGGUAGGUGGUCUCAUUUGUCUGGGGUGAAAGCCUUGAGCUUAACUCAAGAAGUGCCCCAGAAACGGUGAGACUAGAAUCUGUGAGAGGGUCGUGGAAUUCCCGGUGUAGCGGUGAAAUGCGUAGAGAUCGGGAGGAACACCAGAGGCGAAGGCGGCGACCUGGAACAGUAUUGACACUCAACUACGAAAGCGUGGGUAGCAAACAGGAUUAGAUACCCCCGUAGUCC
rnacentral:rRNA from 1 species